rnacentral:rRNA from 1 species
UUGGCGGCCACAGCCCUGGGGAGACACCCGGACCCAUUCCGAACCCGGAAGUUAAGCCCAGGCACGUAGCAUGCUGUACUAAGGUACGCGAGUCCUCGGGAAC